UAUCGACCCGAGCCGUGCCGGAGCUAACGCGUUAAGUAUCCCGCCUGGGGAGUACGCACGCAAGUGUGAAACUCAAAGGAAUUGACGGGGGCCCGCACAAGCGGUGGAGUAUGUGGUUUAAUUCGAUGCAACGCGAAGAACCUUACCAAGACUUGACAUCCUGCGAAUUCCGGUGAAAGCUGGGAGUGCCUUAGGGAGCGCAGAGACAGGUGGUGCAUGGCUGUCGUCAGCUCGUGUCGUGAGAUGUUGGGUUAAGUCCCGCAACGAGCGCAACCCUCGUUUUUAGUUGCCAGCAUUAAGUUGGGCACUCUAGAGAGACUGCCGGUGACAAACCGGA
rnacentral:rRNA from 1 species